UACGUAGGGUGCGAGCGUUAAUCGGAAUUAUUGGGCGUAAAGAGCUCGUAGGCGGUCUGUCGCGUCGGCUGUGAAAACUCGGGGCUCAACUCCGAGCUUGCAGUCGAUACGGGCAGGCUAGAGUUCGGCAGGGGAGACUGGAAUUCCUGGUGUAGCGGUGAAAUGCGCAGAUAUCAGGAGGAACACCGGUGGCGAAGGCGGGUCUCUGGGCCGAUACUGACGCUGAGGAGCGAAAGCGUGGGGAGCGAACAGG
rnacentral:rRNA from 1 species